CAAGUCCAAAAUCAGGUAGAGGACACCUGUGUUAGUCUACGCUUCUACACACUCAGUAAGAUUGUACCAUUGCUUCCUUUUUUGAUGAAGCUAAUUGACAGAACUGUAUCAGGAAGAUGCUACAGUAUCAGUUCGUCUGUUUUACCUCACCUGUGGUAUAAACAGGCAACCUCCACUAAGACAGGGCAGAAGAGGCCUUCAUGUCCAGCUGGAGUUUGUGAUGUAAUUCUCCUUGCUUCCCACAAAACCUAGUAAAAUUCACUUAACUGUCUGCAAAUAUAACAUCCAUUUUCCACUCUUGGAUCUCUUAGUCUUGUUUUCAGUUGCAAACUGGAUGCCUGUAGCCUGUGUUUCAGCAUGUGGAUAUGCACACUCAUAAUGAAAAACUGACUAUGAAAUCCACCUAUCUUCAGCCUGAAACAAUGUUCUUCAAAGCACCAAAAUGUCACACAAAUUGAUAAUAAAUGAUCUGGAUUUACCCCCAGACAUCUACCAUAUAGCAACAAGGCUGGAGUUCCUUGUGGAUUCUCAGGACAAAUAUUGUAUAACCAUCAAUGAUCCCUGUGCUAACACUUCCAACUGAGAUACCAAUUCUGGUGGCUUAUUUGCUAUGAAGAGCAAAAACUGAACUAAACCCAAUCAGCUGCUUCAUGUAAGCAACUGAAUUGGAUGGUACUGAGCUCCAAAAUAACAGAAUAACUCUGGAGCGUGCAUGGAGAGCUUGCAGUUUGUCAGCUGAAGUACAAGCAGCUUUAAGUCAAGACAGGAGUUUGACAAACUGAAGAAGCUGCAUCAUUUGCUCUUUAGCACAGCUUCACAAGCUGAAGUUUAAUCUCAGAGGAAUAGAAGUCAUCAGCCGUGUAAGAAUAUUUCUCAAACAAGUCAGGACUUUGAUCUAUCAUGUAAAUACUGCAGAGCUUUACUAGUUCUCAUUUUGUUAAUCUGCAAACUGGAUGAGUCUUGCAGAAUAUAGCUGGUCUUGCCUUGCUUCUCAGGAAUGACUAAUAGCAGGGAGCUGGAAUAAGGCCUUGUAUUACUGAGUACUUGUUAUAUUUGGAAAUUAAACUUCAGUAUGCGUACUGUCAAACACAAACAAACAAACGUAUACUACA